GUCGAUUGAGGGGCUUCACUCUGUCUGUGGGAAAUUCCUCCACCAGUCACAGAAGAUGCUAUAGAGACGAGACACCCUCCUAUUACAAUCCCGGGUCGAUUAUUAGCAAGCAGUGUACAGAGGGGCCGGUGUCUGGAAACACUAUUAGGAUAAGGUCACGCAAAGGUGAACCUCUGACACUCUGUGAAGUUCUCAUCUACGUUUGUGCACCUGGAUGGUACGGUGAGACAUGUGACGAGCGAUGUGUGACGACAACGGCAUGUUCCGGCUGUGACGUCACAGGGACUCGGUGUGAAGCAUGUGUUUCCGGUCGCUGGGGAGAAACGUGUCGCAGAAAAUGCGGUCAUUGUUGGGAAGGCAAAUGUGAUAAAGACAGAUCAGAUUGUUUCCAAGUUUCUCCAAACCCAAGGUGUGAUGCUGGCUACAU